rnacentral:tRNA from 1 species
GAAUUUAGAAUUCAUGUAUGUAAGUUAUUUACAGGUAAUACUUGUUUUAUAUAGAUAUAAUAUUUUCGUUAGUU